CCAGCAGCCGCGGUAAUUCCAGCUCCAAUAGCGUAUGCUAAAGUUGUUGCAGUUAAAAAGCUCGUAGUCGAAUUUUGAAUUAAGAGUGCGAAUUAAAUCCACCGGGAUGGUGAGAAUUUAUUCAUCUUAAUUUAUCAAUCUGGAAGGAAGUUCAAAUAUUUCAAUUUAUUUUGAAUAUUUUGUGGAGAAGCAAUUCUUCCGAACUCCUUCUCUUUUACUGUGAAGAAACUUGAGUGUUCAUAGCAAGCAUCUCCAGCCUGAAAAUUUCAGCAUGGGAUAAUGGAAUAGGCUCACGCGCCUAUGUUUUCGCCGGUCUUUGGGCUUUGGCGUGAGAAUGGUCGAGAGGGGCGAUUGGGGGCACUUGUACCCAGCGGUCAGAGGUGAAAUUCUUGGAUUCGCGGGAGACAAACUCGUGCGAAAGCGUUUGCCAAGGGCGCUUUCUUUGAUCAAGAACGAAAGU
rnacentral:rRNA from 1 species